UAAAUGGAUAUAGAUAGAGAGCGUACCAAAACGUCUUCUGAUCAACGGCGUUUCUGGGACGACUGGGAUCUGCCGAUUCGAAAAUCCAAAUGCUUUCACCAUCAACUCCAGUUUCAUUUCUCCAUCUCAAACCAACUAGUAAACGACCAGAGACGUUUUUAACAGUCCAAAGAUCAACAGCUAGCAAAGUGAAAAUUACAAUAAACAACAACAUACUAUUUUUAUUUGUUUAGCUCAAUUUCUUUUUCUUUUAAAUUUCUGCUAUUAAAAACUUACAAACUUGAGGUAAAGAACAUGCCCAAUAUGUAUGCCACAAUUGCACCGGUACGAAAUAAAAGAAAGAAGAAAAGAGCUACAGGAUGCGAAGACAUUUGAAACAUCUGCGGUAGCCUACUAGCAUUCCUUUCCUGCUCGGCAAUUGUCUCCGUAUUUUGAUAGUCCAUUUUCGUCAACGUGAUAUGGUUAUCAACGUAAAGGUUUCGAUCCAAAGAGGUGAACAUCUCAGCAGGGGUUUGACAGUAUGCGAAUAAGGAACCUUAACGAAGAUUCUUAUUGUGUAGCAAGCCUGGUUUUCUAAAAGAUCGUAUUCGAAAGUGAAUGUUUAGUUGUUAAUUUAAGU